CUUGCAUUCAUUUCAUUCGUGUUGUUUGCUUCUUUGUGAUCGGACGGUUUGUGUCUCUCGGUGGCAGCGUGUUUAUUUUAUUCCAUCAAAGAAUCAAACAAAGCGGAUCAAGUCUUACUAAAUUGAUUAUUUUACUCGCAAAGGUACGAAAAUCGAUUGUCGGAAUCCCCGAGUGUUGAAGAUCAUCUCAUUCCCAAAAUCGUGAAAACGUGAGUGCUUGUGUUCGCCGUCAUUCUGCGAAGUGAUGUGGAUGUGAAGUUCUUGUUGACCGAUCGAGAUUGAUCAAGCGAAACCAAACCCCAACCACAACAAAAGUACGACCGCAGAAACGAGUGCCAGAAAUAAAAACCAGCAGCUCAGCUCAUCGUUGGCUGGACAGUGAUUUAACGUAACACUGCUGAUGGUGACUGUGAAGGGAGAAAGUGUUCAAAUUUCAAUCGUAUUCGUGAUCAGUUUCGGUCUUUCAGCUUCAAUUGAUUAGAACAAUAGUGGUAGCAUUGAAUAGUGGUCGUUAUUCGAUUGGGUUUUGUUUUAUAGAAUUGCACAUAAAUACCUACCUAACAACUGUGAACGACAAUAUUUCCUCGUAUUGCGUGGGUGUGCUUCCCAAAGUUUGGUGCUGUUGAAGAAAAAAGGUGUAAGAGUGGCUGAAGAGAAUGCUGCAUACAUUAUUCAUGGUGAAAUUCAAAUAAUUUCAUUGUGUUGAAGAAUUGGAAUUCGAGUGGUAGUGCUUGCCAUACUAUUGAGCAACGAAAGAGUAAUAGCAAUCUAACGUUUUCGAGCAAGGAUAUACCAUCUACUCGCGAACCAAUUGUUAAGGGAGGAGUCAGAGACGAAAUCGGAUUAUCGUCUGCUGUGCGUCAAAAAAGUAUCCGGAGGAGUCAGAGACGAAAUCGGAUUAUCGUCUGCUGUGCGUCAAAAAAGUAUCCGAUCACAUACCACGACAGAUAAUAGUGGCCGUAAACGUGCGUUGAACAAGCACAACCAGGCAGUGCAUUCCAUCUUCCGUGUGAAAGCAGUCCAACCGUGUCCACUGCGGAUUAAUAAGACAGGGGGAACGUCGGAGACUUCCUCAUUGCGAACAGCCCCCAACUCCGGUCAUAGUGGAGAAGAAUCUGAAAAGCGGUAAAAUGGCCAGUACUGGCGAUAUCUGGCUACAAUGGUUUUCCUGUUGCUUCCACCAACCGCAAAGUCCCCGGCGGCGGCGACAUCACCAGCGGCUGCGGAUAGACCGGUCAAUGAUAGGAAAUCCCACCAAUUUUGUGCACACGGGCCACAUCGGUUCCAACGACGUCGAGCUUUCCACGAACCACCUUUCGGCGAUACAGAAUCAAAUGCAGAGUAAAGGCGGCUACGAAAUGAACUCGCUAAGACUACAGGCCUGCUGAUAAACCGUGGUAUGCCACCGUCCAUUAAUUUAUUCCUAGUUCAUAAGGCUAUUAUGCUUUGAAAACUAUAGCACUGUACACAUAGAUCAACAUUGCUAAGUGGGGAUAAUUAGGAGAAACAAUUACAUAUUAACUUCAUAGCCGGCGAAUUAAUUCACGCUGAAGCGGGAAGGCAUGGUACAGUUCAUCAAAACGACUUCAACAAAGUAAUUCAGAUCCUAUGCCUUCCUUGCAGAAUACUGAAAAGUUAAUCCACUACUAGACUAUAGCCGAAAUCAACACCUUAAGGUUUCGAACAACAGCCUUAUGAAAACUAGGGUAGCCAACGAGAUAACAAGAUGGAUAACGAAACGAAAGAGAUAGUUUUGCGUGAAUUUGAAUGAAUGAGUUUUCCUAUAGAUGAUACUUAGAAUAUGAAGAAUUGAUUGAAAAAAAAAAAUCGUGGUGCUUCACUAAGAGAUCAAAAGUUAAUUAAUAAUAAACUAAAAACCGAAUGUGCCACAUGUGCACCGAUGUAAAUCAUUGUACAUAGUUCCUUUGAAUUAAAAAAAAGUGUCAAUUAGUAUCGACUAUAUUAUACUCACACGUAGAAAAUGUAAGCCCAUCGAAAUAAACUGAAUUGACAAAAGCGAA